GGAACUCUCGGAGGAGAGGACCCCCGUUCAGGACAAGCCUGGGGACUGGAGCAAGCUGGUA
rnacentral:misc_RNA from 1 species